rnacentral:rRNA from 1 species
UACGUAGGUGACAAGCGUUGUCCGGAUUUACUGGGCGUAAAGAGCGCGCAGGCGGUCGAUCAAGUCGAGUGUGAAAGCCCCCGGCUCAACUGGGGAGGGUCAUUCGAUACUGAUCGACUCGAAGGCAGGAGAGGGUAGUGGAAUUCCCGGUGUGAGUGGUGAAAUGCGCAGAGUAUCAGGAGGAACACCGGUGGCGAAGGCGGCACUCUGGGCCGGUACUGACGCUGAGGAGCGAAAGCGUGGGGAGCGAACAGG